rnacentral:rRNA from 1 species
GACGGGUGAGUAACACGUGGUAACCUGCCUGUAAGACUGGGAUAACUCCGGGAAACCGGGGCUAAUACCGGAUGGUUGUUUGAACCGCAUGGUUCAAACAUAAAAGGUGGCUUCGGCUACCACUUACGAUGGACCCGCGGCGCAUUAGCUAGUUGGUGAGGUAACGGCUACCAAGGCAACGAUGCGUAGCCGACCUGAGAGGGUGAUCGGCCACACUGGGACUGAGACACGGCCCAGACUCCUACGGGAGGCAGCAGUAGGGAAUCUUCCGCAAUGGACGAAAGUUGACGGAGCAACGCCGCGUGAGUGAUGAAGGUUUUCGGAUCGUAAAGCUCUGUUGUUAGGGAAGACAAGUACCGUUCGAAUAGGGCGGUACCUUGACGGUACCUAACCAGAAAGCCACGGCUAACUACGUGCCAGCAGCCGCGGUAAUACGUAGGUGGCAAGCGUUGUCCCGGAAUUAUUGGGCGUAAAGGGCUCGCAGGCGGUUUCUUAAGUCUGAUGUGAAAGCCCCCGGCUCAACCGGGGAGGGUCAUUGGAAACUGGGGAACUUGAGUGCAGAAGAGGAGAGUGGAAUUCCACGUGUAGCGGUGAAAUGCGUAGAGAUGUGGAGGAACACCAGUGGCGAAGCGACUCUCUGGUCUGUAACUGACGCGAGGAGCGAAAGCGUGGGGAGCGAACAGGAUUAGAUACCCUGGUAGUCCACGCCGUAAACGAUGAGUGCUAAGUGUUAGGGGGUUUCCGCCCUUAGUGCUGCAGCUAACGCAUUAAGCACUCCGCCUGGGGAGUACGGUCGCAAGACUGAAACUCAAAGGAAUUGACGGGGGCCCGCACAAGCGGUGGAGCAUGUGGUUUAAUUCGAAGCAACGCGAAGAACCUUACCAGGUCUUGACAUCCUCUGACAAUCCUAGAGAUAGGACGUCCCCUUCGGGGGCAGAGUGACAGGUGGUGCAUGGUUGUCGUCAGCUCGUGUCGUGAGAUGUUGGUUAAGUCCCGCAACGAGCGCAACCCUUGAUCUUAGUUGCCAGCAUUCAGUUGGGCACUCUAAGGUGACUGCCGGUGACAAACCGGAGGAAGGUGGGGAUGACG